GGAUGCGAUCAUACCAGCACUAAAGCACCGGAUCCCAUCAGAACUCCGAAGUUAAUCGUGCUUGGUCGAGAGUAGUACUAGGAUGGGUGACCUCCUGGGAAGUCCUCGUGUUGCAUUCC
rnacentral:rRNA from 1 species